ensembl:snoRNA SNORD36 Small nucleolar RNA SNORD36
UUGCCUAUGAUGGUUAAGAAUUUCUUCACCUGAAUGAAUCAUGUGGUCAUGUUAUAUCUGAGGCAAA